rnacentral:lncRNA from 1 species
ACGACUUCGGGAUCCGAUUGGCUAGAGUAAGAGAGCCAGGCGCCCAAGGGGCAAUUGAGGCCGGAUUUGGUCCCCUGACUGGCGCCUGUGGAGCUGAGGGCGCUGCGGGCGGGAUCGCGGGGUAGGGCCGGCGCCAGGCCUUCAAGUCAAACCACUGACGGGUGCCGUUAAGACCCGCGCUCGAGCGCCCACCCCAAAUCUCGAGACGUGCGGGUCGCGGGCGGCCGGCCCUGGCCCGAGAGCUCGCUCUUGUUCCCGCGGGAUCUCAAGCUGGCGUGAGGCCGAGCCGGCCUGGGCCGGGCAUCCCCUGGCACAGCCUGCGGGCCUGUCCGGGAAGCUGUUGCGACACUCGGGCGGUGGCCUGUUAGACUCGGGUCGAGUCUGGAGUGUUGGCUUUCCAAGCCGUGGGCUAGCUAACUCCUGAGGACCCGGAGCUCCUCAGGCCCCAGCGCCCCGCGCUGGGCUUGCACCUGAAGUCGCCCAGUACACCCCGCAGUUGUUGAAUGAAUGAGUUCUUCGGGGGCCCGCGGUCGCUGGGCCCUGCGCCAGACUGAGAGCUGGGGGCGGGGAAGGGAGAUGUCGAAAUGGGGCAGGAUGAUUCAGAGAUGACGACAGGUGGAGAAGCCAGACUGGAGGCAGCUGCCCAAGCACAGCAGGAAAAGUAUAUGGGGAAGUUCGGACGUACAGCUUGUCGCUGAGUGACGCAAUGAUGAACCUACCGCCUGGUGAUAACUGCCUUUUGUGAUAAGACCCCUCUCCCUCCUGGACAGGUCGGUGGAGUCUGAGAGGGGCGCGCACUGGUUAAAGAACAAUGCCAGCAAUUCCCAGCCUUGAGCACCACCUCCUGGGCCGUGACGUUGCACAGGAGCUUCACUAGGGCUGCAGGCUCGGUUGAGGAACACAGGCGCUUUCCCUACUCCGUCUGCCUCGCUUCUUCAGUUUCCCGUCCCUGGAGCGUGUUUGCACAAGCCUCCCCACUGUUUCCAGCUCUCUCUUUACUGCCUAUUUUACUGAGAUGAUGAUGCAAUUGUGAACUUUUCCAUCUGUUUAUAGGUUUUCCGUAAAUAGGGAAGGGGUUUUCCUUUUUUUCUCUAAAGCUUAGCGGUUUCUGGGCCUCUGGUUUUUCGGGGUUCUGUUUUUUAACUUUUUUUUUUUAACUCAUCUAUUCUCUUCCUAUUCAGCAGUGGUUAUUAACUUUUGCGUCUCGACCUUUUGGAAAAUAAGCUACAAAUCCUCUUCUCCUUCCCCUCCACCUUCCACCCACCCUGCACACACACAAUUUUGAAAAUAAUUUCUGAAUUUGCAGAGUCCCUGAAGGUGACUCGUGGCCCCCCGAGGGGUCCAUUAACUUCAGAUUAAGAAAAGCCUGAGUUCUCACACGUCUCGCAAAAAGAAACUCACUCAAUCCUGCUAGAGUAUUCAUUCCCUUUACUGCCAAACUGCUCCAGUAAUGACCUAUAUAUACCUGCUAUGUCCUUUCUCUCCUUAAGCCCUACAUUUUUACUCUUUUAUUCAGUGGUCGCAAAUGACUUUUCCAAAUCCAAUGGUCUUUUUCUUGUUCUGAUUUUUCUGGACUAAGAGAUAACACUUAGCCCCUCCAUUGACCCAUCCCUCACUGAAACUUUUUCCUACCUUCAGGAACCACUCUAUCUCUUCUAUCUUUUAGACUUCUGAGUCUCCUACACUUCUCUGCCCACUGGGGAGGAACAUUCCUAAAGGUUUAAUGCUUCUUGUUCAUCUUUAAUACCUUAGGGAACUUUACCAUCCCAAAUCUGUUUUCCUUUUUGGAGCCCUGUCUAUAUUUCCCUAUUGCUUACUCUUUAACUGAAAUUUCCAUGUGAACUCUUCAGUAAAUAUUUAUUGAGUAACAACUUUAUGCCUGACACUGUACUUGAAGCCAGUGACACAGGACAGAUGGAGUCCAUGCUUUCACGAAGCUUACUUUUUAAUGGGGGGAAAGAGAUAGACCAAUAAGAAAAAUAUCAGAUAGCUCUAGGUACCAUGCUGAUAACUGAAAUAGGGAGGUGGAUAAAGUGUGACUGGGUAGCUACAUUUGCAUGACCAGGAAAGGCCUUUCUGAGGAGACGACACUAAGGUAAGUUCUGAAUAAGAGGCAGGAACUCAUGAUGGACUCAGACAAGAGCAUUCCAGAAGAAACAGGAGGUACAACAAUCCUAAGGUAACAACAAGAUUGGUGUAUGAAGGAACAGAAAGAAAGUCUAUGUGGCUGGAGCAUGGUGAGUGAGGGGGGAAGUGAUACAAGAUGAGGUUGGAAAGAUAGGCAGAGGGUGAAUAUCCACCUUAAUUUCUGACUCAGCAUGUCCAUUCCAAACUCAGCCUUUCCACUCCCCACCCCAACCAAUUCCUCCUAAAUAUUCCUUGUCUACCCAAUCAAUCAGACUUUAAAGCUGGUAUCCUCCUUGACUACCCCUUCAGAAUAAUUAUUCUGAAAUGUUUCUUUUGUUCAUGCUCUCCUUUUCCUUCUUAUUGAUAUUAUUCUUUCCCAGUAUCUGAUCACUUUACAUCUAUAUUGUAAUAACCUUUGAAAGGCCUCCCUACCUCUGGAUCCCCUGGCUUUACUAGUAUUUGGAUUUGCCUCCUUCCAGGGACAUUGUAGGAUUGUUCUUCCCACCUCCUUGAAGAUAGGCAUGGCUGUGAGAUUUGCUUUGACCAAUGAAAUGUGAGAGAAGCAUGAGAGCCACACAUUAACUUCCCCUGCCACAUGACUGGUGAUGUUCAGAUGGUGGGAGCACCAUCAGUCUGGGGCCCUGACCCAGAAGAUGUCAACCAUUUUUGGCCAUGAGGACAAAGCCUAUACCUUAGCAGGUGGCAGAGGAAAAAGUAGAAGAAACUUGUUUCCUUGUGGGUAACACUAGUACCUCUGGACUACUCAUGUUCUGGUUGCCUCACAAAGUGAAACGUCUGGGAAGUGACUGCUCAUGGAUACAAAGUUUCUUUUUAGUUGAUGAAAAUGUUUUAAGGUUAUAUUGUGGUAAUGGUUGCACAAGCCUGUGAAUAUACUAAAAACUAUUGAAUUGGGUGAAUUUUGUGGUAUAUAAAUUAUGUCUCAAUAAAGCUGUUUUUGAAAAGGUGAAAGAUCAGUGCCCG